rnacentral:rRNA from 1 species
AUUCUGUCUUUAAUUAUUUUUUUAUGAAAUUACUCUUAGAAAGUGAAAAUACUUUCAGAAUAUAUAAUAGACGAGAAGACCCUAUAAAUUUAUCAUAAAAGUUACUCUUAGUUGUAUUACUAUUUUUGUUGGGGCAACAGCUUACCAUUAAUAAAAUAAUAUAUAAUGUAAGUAAAUUACUAAAUAUACUCAUACAAUAAUCCAAGUAUUACUAUUAAUAAAGAAAUUACUUUAGGGAUAACAGCAUAAUUUAAUUAAAAAGAUUGUGACCUCGAUGUUGGACUAG